rnacentral:SRP_RNA from 1 species
GCCAGGUGUGGUGGUGCACACCUGUAGUCCCAGCUACUUGGGAGGCUGAGGUGGGAGGAUUGCUUGAGCCUGGGAGGUUGAGGCUGCAGUGAGCUGUGAUCACGCCACUGCACUCCAGCCUGGACGACAGAGUGAGACCCUGUUUCAA